rnacentral:rRNA from 1 species
AACGCGAAGAACCUUACCUGGUCUUGACAUCCACGGAAUUCGGCAGAGAUGCCUUAGUGCCUUCGGGAACCGUGAGACAGGUGCUGCAUGGCUGUCGUCAGCUCGUGUUGUGAAAUGUUGGGUUAAGUCCCGCAACGAGCGCAACCCUUAUCCUUUGUUGCCAGCGGUCCGGCCGGGAACUCAAAGGAGACUGCCAGUGAUAAACUGGAGGAAGGUGGGGAUGACGUCAAGUCAUCAUGGCCCUUACGACCAGGGCUACACACGUGCUACAAUGGCUUCAUACAUAAAGAAGCGACCUCGCGAGAGCAAGC